GAGCAUGUUCCAAUCUGUGUCAGGAAGACCGCAAAUCUGACUGCCUCUCACACUCCUUCCCUCCACCGUUUCCGUCUCCUUUCUUCCCUCAACACUGAUUCACAGAGCUGAGUGCACAGAGGGAAUGGGCUACCUCCAGCUCCAUGCCUCGGGACGGGGGCGGAGGGGCGGUUGAUUCUGGAAAGAGCGCUGGAUCAAGUGACCUAGCUGUGGCCUAGGCACCUGAAACCUUUUAUCUUCCUUGUCUGAAAACCUGUGCCAAAGGGAAUCCAAGCAGGAUCUUUUCUCUUGUCUCGAUUUUCAGCUGAGCCUGAGACAGAGGGGAGAAUGCGCUUAGUUCGCCCUAACCUAAACGCAGACAGCCACGGGAUCACGGAGAAGCGGGGAUGCUGCAGAGGACGUGGCCUUGUUGCUGGCCAAACUCUUGGCCUUCUCUGCCCGCUGAAGCCAGAUGAAAAAUACGGAGACAGAGUUUGCAGGAAAUAGAAAGGUGGCUUUCUCAGCCAGCGGAGAGGGGAACACGAUUCUCUGUCAUCAGCAAAGCGGAACCUUCCCCCGAUCCGGGGCCACCACCACCCUCCAUCCGAGUCAGAGUGUGGGUGCUUCUUUUCACCCUGCAUGAGAUGGACAGAGCCUGCUUCUCGUUCAUUCAGUCAUUUGUGGGGAUUUUCCCAGCUGACUGAUGUUAUUCGAAAUGGAAAAGAUGGAAACCUCAGAAGCGAAUGGUUUUCAAACACGGAGGCCAGGAGUACAUGUCCUGCUAUUUUCCACCCACCCCGGUAAAGGAUUUUGCACUGUUGAUUUAUUCCAACAAGCAGAUUUUUAAAAAUUAAUUUUUAUUGGAGACUUGCUUUACAGCGCUAUAUACAUUUCUACCGUACAGCAAAAUGAGCCAAUCAUACAUAUACAUACAUGCCCUCCCGUCCAGACGUUCCCAUUCGGGCCACCACGGGGCAUUAAAUAGAGUUCCCUGUACUGUACAGUAUGUUCGUAUAGGUCACACAGGUCAUGUCCGACUCUGUGUGACCCUAUGGAUUGUGGCUCGCCAGGCUCCUCUGUCCAUGGGAUGCUCCAGGCAAGAAUACCACGCCCUCUUCCAGGGGAUCUUCCAGACCCAGGGAUCAAACUCACAUCUCCUGAGGCUUCUGCACUGGCAGGCGGACUCUUUUGCUUUUUGUUUUACCGCUGAGCUGCCUGGGAAGCCCUAUCUAUUGUAUACACAGUAUGAAUAGUGAAUAUGUCUCAAGCCCAAUCUCCCCGUUCCUUCUAUCCCUCUCUUUCCCACUUGGUAUUCAUGCAUUUGUUCCCUACAUCUGUGUGUUUAUUUCUGCUUUGCAAAUAGGAUCAUCUGUACCAUUUUUCUAGAUUCCACAUCUAUGUGUUAAUAUAUGAUAUUUUUUUCUCUUUCUGACUUCCUUCAUUCUGUAUGACAGUCUCUAGGUCCAGCCACAUUACUACGAAUGACCCAGUUUCC
ensembl:lncRNA